rnacentral:lncRNA from 1 species
UCCUAAACCUAACCUAUAUCACUACAGCACAUAUAAUAUUAUAAUUUUCAGUUUAAUAAUACUAAUAUUUUAUUUUAAUUUGAUUGAUUUUAUUUGUUUUCCUUUAAUGACUCGAACCUAAUGAUUGCUUACUAAAGUUAAGUUCAUAUUUGUUUAAUUUAUUGUUAACAGUAGUUGUACAAAAUUUACUCGUUAAUAUUGUUGACAAUACUUAUAUAUUGAUUAAACGAAUGAGUAAGAUAUUGAUAUUAGUGAUGAUGAUUUGCCUACAACAUAAAUAUUUUAUAUUAGAUUAAUAUAUUUUGUGUAUUUCGUUUUAAUCUUGAAAUUUUAAUUUCUUAUUUACAUUGACAAAAUUUAAAAUUAAGUUAUAUGCAGAUUUUUUAUGCUAUUAUUAUAAAUUUAUAGUUUGGAUUAUAUAAUUUAAGUUUUUAGGCAUUAUUAAAAAUAUUUUUUAAUAUUUGUGAUUUUAAAUGCGAAAACGUGCAAAAAAUCCAUCGUGGGUUGUGAGUAAGUUUGGUAAUUAUUAAAACCUGCAGCUGGCAAGUUUUAAAAAAAAAAUAGAAAUCCACUUCAGAUUGUGGGCGGAUUAGUAAUUUAAAUUUUUGUGGUUGCGGGUUUGGUAAUGGCAAAUCCACAGUGGGUAGUAUCUAUUGUCGUCCCUACUAGUGUCAGAUUUUAACUCUUGUGCAUGUGUAUUCACUGAACCAACCAAUACUCCUUUCUUUUUAUUUUGGUUCAAUCGUGGGAUCAGUUAUCCAUUAAUAGGAUAAGGAUCAAGAUCCUUUCUUGAUCUUAUCUUUUUCUCUUGAUCCUUAUCUUUUUCUGAACAAAUUUUAUUAACGUGAUUGGUGGUUAAUAAAUUAAAAUGAAAAGAUAGUCAAAUCAUAAUCAUAAAUUAUCAUCGAAAUACAUGUGUCACAAGAUCUUUAGAAGAUUAGAAAUGCUCAAAUUAGGAGAGGAUCCUACUUCAAUAGGAUAAACCUCCUUUUAACAAACAGUACAUUCGUGUUAAUUAAUGUUGUAUUUAAUUAUAUGGCUACAUAUUAGUGAUAUUAUUU